rnacentral:lncRNA from 1 species
GCGCAGGUGGUUCUGACAACAACAGAGGCUAGGGGCGUCAGCGGGCUAGUGUUUAGGGAGGCUAGGGUUUUCUAACAUUGUUUAAGUUUUUGGGCUUAUUGGGCCGCCUAGGGUUUUUUUAUUUUAGGUUUGGGUUGUUCGGGCCUAUUGUAAGUGGACUGAGACUGUUAAUUUAUUUUUUUGGUUUGUUUUUUUUGUUGGGCCCAGGAAAAAAUGGCCUAUUACAAUACCUAUAGCUACUAGAACUUAACUUUUGUAUUUUAUGCAAUUUGGUCCUUUCCGUCUAAUUAGACAUGUAGCCGAUAAAAUUUCUUUACGAAAUUUUCAUACGAUAUUUCAAUUAUAAUGUAGACC